CCGCGCGCGGACCCCGCCAGCCACGUCCGGCCCCCGCUCGGCCCCCGCCCGGCCUUUGUCCGGGUGCUGAGCCGCCGCGCCGGGGGAGGGGACGGGCCUGCACCCACCGCCCGCUCAUUGACUGACGUGCGGAUUCAAUUCCGCAGGCUUGCUCAGGCAGCCGCCGCCACGGCCAGAUUGGAGAGACGGACUCCCGGGUUCGAAUCCCGGCUCUGCCGCUUUUCCACUCUGUGCCCUUAGCUCCCAUUUACCUCCUCGACACCUUGGGCUUUUCUGAGUGGCCACCAUCGUUUUUGGAGAACUGAAUUGUGAGCUAGUGAUGCAGUUUAGGCUGGCUGUUUGGACUGGAAAGCUCCAUUUAGGCUCUGCUUGGGAGAGCUGAAGAUUAUCUGCUGAGAAAAAUCUCAACCCAGAUGGUCACUACAGUUCACUGGAGCUGGACUAGUUCCUUGUUACAAACGCAGAACACUUCUGCAAAUUCAAGUUCAUCAGGGAGCCCAAACCUAAGGGAGAACGCGAAUGGAAGAGAAAUCCCACUUGGAAUUCAAAUCCUAAGAAUGGGUUGUCACUGCAGUUAUAUUCCUUGAGGUUUGCUGAUGGGGCUAGUCCUGGGUUAUGGUGCUUUAUAUACACGAUCUUAAUUAUGAUACUAGCCCUGCAAGUUGGAUGCCAUCCUUUUCAUUUGCUGAUGGGAAACGGAAUCUGAGUGAAGUGAAAGAGUCUAAGGCCACGAAGCUGGUCUGGAGCAGGCACCUGGAGCCAGCCUGACUCCAGACUGUGUUCAGCUGGGAAUCGGUGUCCAGUGCUUGCUCAGCCACUUGCCAAGUGUGUGAUCUUGGGCAAGCCACUUGACCUCUCUGUGCCCCAGUCUCUUUAUCUGUAAGAUGGGGAUAAGACCUGUAGGCUUGUUCUGAGAGCAUCUAAAUUAGAUCACAUGUUUAAAGCCCCAUGCAUUUUUUAUUAUUUUGCUACUGACCAAACUGACAACUAAACAUCUCCCUUUAACCUGCAUCCGUAUUUAUUUUGGAUGGAUAUCUUUACCCAUCCAAAUCUCAAAGCGGAUUUUAAUCUCAGUGCUGCUCUCAACUGCAUUCGCUCUUUUCUCAUCUGGACCCUCUCUCUAUCCCCUGGCUGUGUGUCCAGGUUCACCUCCCUUUCUCUGUGUCCCAAAAGUAGACAUCACUUGUCAUCUCUAGAAGAAAAUAGAUUCCAUUUUUUUCCACUGGCAGAGGUGUUUGAACCAGAGUGAGUCCAACUUGUAUAGGGGCUGGGUAAAAUGAGGCUGAGAGCUGCUGGGCUGCAUUCGCAGGAGUUUAAGGCGUUCUUAGUCACAGGAUGAGAUAGGGGGC